rnacentral:rRNA from 1 species
UGCACAAUGGGCGGAAGCCUGAUGCAGCAACGCCGCGUGCGGGAUGACGGCCUGGUUGUAACCGCUUCGUCCUGUGACGAAGCGUGAGUGACGGUAAUGGGUAAAGAAGCACCGGCUAACUACGUGCCAGCAGCCGCGGUGAUACGUAGGGUGCGAGCGUUGUCCGGAUUUAUUGGGCGUAAAGGGCUCGUAGUGGUUGAUCGCGUCGGAAGUGUAAUCUUGGGGCUUAACCCUGAGCGUGCUUUCGAUACGGGUUGACUUGAGGAAGGUAGGGAGAAUGGAAUUCCUGGUGGAGCGGUGGAAUGCGCAGAUAUCAGGAGGAACACCAGUGGCGAAGGCGGUUCUCUGGGCCUUUCCUGACGCUGAGGAGCGAAAGCGUGGGAGCGAACAGGCUUAGAUACCCUGGUAGUCCAGUCGACGCGGCCG